rnacentral:rRNA from 3 species
CCUGGGGAGUACGGCCGCAAGGUUAAAACUCAAAUGAAUUGACGGGGGCCCGCACAAGCGGUGGAGCAUGUGGUUUAAUUCGAUGCAACGCGAAGAACCUUACCUGGUCUUGACAUCCACAGAACUUUCCAGAGAUGGAUUGGUGCCUUCGGGAACUGUGAGACAGGUGCUGCAUGGCUGUCGUCAGCUCGUGUUGUGAAAUGUUGGGUUAAGUCCCGCAACGAGCGCAACCCUUAUCCUUUGUUGCCAGCGGU